rnacentral:misc_RNA from 1 species
GACGAAGAACGUAGCGAAAUGCGAUAAGUAGUGUGAAUUGCAGAAUUCAGUGAAUCAUCGAAUCUUUGAACGCACAUUGCGCCCCAUGGUAUUCCGUGGGGCAUGCCUGUUCGAGCGUCAUUUACCCCCUCAAGCUCCGCUUGGUGUUGGGCGUCUGUCCCGCUUCGCGCGCGGACUCGCCCCAAAGGUAUUGGCAGCGGUCGUGCCAGCUUCUCGCGCAGCACAUUGCGCUUCUCGAGGCACCGGUGGGCCCGCGUCCAUCAAGCUCACCCCCCCAGUUUGACCUCGGAUCAGGUAGGGAUACCCGCUGAACUUAAGCAUAUCAAUAAGCGGAGGA